AGUUAGCGCAGUACGAUGCAACGCCAACGUCUGCAGGCUACUCGUCAGUACGGAACGUGUACUGGUGGUUUUACGUCUGCAGUGACGUGAAGUUUACGUACCCGCUCCCGGAAGUACUCUUAAUCGGCUCACUACUCUGCUCGUAAUCAUUGGCUCAUGGAUACAUGAUAACAAGUUACGUGGAACGUGUGAUGGAAAUAGCGAUCGGCAACGGUAAUAGUUGGGUACACACUGAUCAACAUUUAUAUUGAACGUGUUCAACCUGUGUGUUCCCCGGCAGACUUAAAACAUACCCUCCAUAAUGUCAUGGAGGAAUCCUCACAGGUUUACUUGCUUCUCAUUGGCCAUCCCCCCACGGAAGCGCCAGGUGCGAUUCUCGGCUCGUCAUGACAUCAUCCUUCUUCGGGAGGUCAUCGCCCAGAAUCCCUUCAGCACAAAGGAUUCAAGCGUCAGGCUUUGGGCCCGCAUUGCGGAGAUCAUUACAGCUUCGAUGCAGGAUGAGUACUUUGAGGUGGAUGCACGGCGCUGCCGUGAGAGAACCCUGCUGCUGCUGGACUACUACAAGAAACAGGACUUCUUCAGACUGCGCAGGAGUGGAACGGAGGCUCUGUAUGCAGAGAAAGAGGACCUGCUCCAUGAAGUGAUGGACUUGGAAGCUCGGAAGAGCAGCCAAAAGACCCCUAGAGUCCAGGAGGCAAGUGAGCUGGUCAGGAAAGCAGCACCGGGAAGACCUGUUUCUACCAGAACAGGACAAACCAGACGUCACCGCCCUCGGCAUAAUAGCAAGCAGAGAGGAUGCCACCCAACCUAGUUCACCUGCGUCGUCCAUCAGAGCCGAGUCAGAGGGGGACGCGCCAGCUGAGGAGCCUGGGCCAGUAGUACACAGCUCCAGGCAUUCCUGCCAGUGCUGCUGCCACCACAGCUUCUCAGAGGCCCUCCGGUUCCUGGAGAAACGCACAGAGGCGGAGCAUCAGAUCAGGGAGGAGGAGCUAGCGCUGAGGAGGGAGGAGCUGGAGGUUCAGAGGAGUAAGAUCUGCCUGGAGCGAGAGCGUCUUGAGGAGGAGAGGAAGGAGAGGGAGCGGAGGUUCCGGCUGGAGAGCCAAGAGAGGCAGGUGAUCCUGGACCUCCUCAAGGAGAAGAUCCUGAAAGGCUGAAGGAGGGAAGAGAAACCCCAGAAGACCUCCAUAACAAGACACGGUGGACUCUGCGUCAAGGAGCACGACGGCAGCGCUGCCCCGCGGCGCCCCACACACGGACCCCAUGGACCCUUGGGGGGGAUUGAUGGGCCCAGGCAGGCCAGUAGAUACCUCUAGUAGAUUAACCAAGGAGCUCGGAGGAGGAACGCAUACACACGCACACACCCACAACAACAAGGCUGUCGCAGUUGACUUCAUCUACUGCCGUCGUCCUUACGAGGCUCGCUGUGUGCGUGUGUGCAGGCGUGUAAGGACAGGGUGCUGCUUUCACUUCGUGUUGUUGAUGAAGGGCGAACCCGAUUUAAUGACUGGAUGUCAAAGAAUCUCAUGUCACGCUUUUUUUAGAUUAUGUAUUGCUGCAAUUACUGUGACGUUAUCUUGAUAACAGAAUGGUCCCGAGCAGGGAGUUUCUAGGAGGAGCAUGCAGCCAAGUGCAGCUGAACAGGUUUGUGUACUGUGUAUACCUGAAGUCAGUGUGCUCUUGUUAAAAUAGUAGAGUAAUAGGUGUGGAGAAACAUUGUUGUGAGCCUUACGUUUCAGAAGAGCAGUCUGACGCUUUGGCACAGAUAAAAGGUGGUUUGUGAUUUCAUAGUUUUAAUUAGUAAUUACCCGACAGGGUAUACAUGGCUAGGCUAAUACUUGCUGCAUUGGGUGUAUGUUGAAUAUGUUGUGUAAAAUAACGAUGGUGAAUUGUUGAAAGUGCUAGGUUCUGACCUUAAGGAGAACACAACCCCAUGCAUGACGCCGCCUUAAAAAAAAAAAGCUUUCGGUUUAUAUUCGUUUUAAGGGCUGGGCUGACUCUCCAGAAAACGCCCUUCAGUUCGGUUUCAUUAAGCAGAGGAAAGCUGUGUUCUCCUUUAAGAUUAGCUUCCACUGCUAGGUCCAGCAGUGGGAUUAAUAACUUUUUGAACACAAUUCAAAGAAAUGCUUCGGUCUUAGAGAAAAAUAUUUUGGGGGAAUAUUUGAAGAAUUUUCAACAAACAAAUUAAUUGAUAAAUUAUACUUUUCAAAUCUUCUUGGGAUUUCCUCUUUUGUCUAUCAAGAUGAGGGUACACCCUGUGUUGGGAUGGCAGCCAUCAUGGGGUGCAUACACGCCCUCCCUCAAGUCACACAAAGAUACUUGCAUUACCCAGACCAAUGCCAGUUUACUAAUAUACCGGUACAAACAGGCAGGCGCCACUCUCUCUAGCAAUAGCUUAAUUAUAGUUACUGAUAGGCUUAUCUUUCUGUGGACACUCCAACUUAUGUUGUCUUUAAAUCAAUGGUCAGGGCAUGGCAGAUUUUUAAUGGCUUGUUAGGGCUCAUCAAACACAAACCUGGUGAUAAAAUAGGGGCUCUUUAAAUGUAUCUACACUUGUCCACCUGAUGAUAUCUGGGCACUCCCAUACCUUAUUACCUUCUUGCCUUACCUUCAUUUUUUUUUAUCUUUUCGAAUAAUCUUACACUAUCUUGAGAAUGUACUUUGUCCAAUCAUCGUAUGAGAAUAUAGACUAAUGAUGGACUAUAAAAUAUAUGGCUGCACCGG
ensembl:lncRNA